UAGCGUCUCCUGAGGUGCUGCUGAAACUGCCCCACACCAGACCAACAUCGUCAAAUCUCUGGGGGCGAAGCCAAUGCCUCAGUUCCCCGGGUGAUUUUAUGCUGCUAGUUUUGUGAAUCACUGGUCCAAAAACAAAAAGAUGGCCAGGGUGACUCUUUCAGGACCAAAGGCCAGCUUAGUGGACAAGUAUUCUAACGAAAUCCACAGGCAGCAGUUAUACCAGCCCCAGGAAACAUAAGCAUCAGCAAAAGACGUGAUUGUCAGAUGACCCUCCUACUACUGUAUUUGGAGUUAAGUUUCCUCGAGGGAUGAAUGGGCAGCCAAGUCUUUGCAGCUCCAGUGCCUGCGGACACAAGACUCUGGGAAGUGGGGGAGGGAAGGAAGCCAGGAACUGGUAACAACUUCCAGCAUUAAAGCAGUGACUAAUACUAAUUAUGCCGCUCCGACCAGCCAUCAAGCAGACCUAUUUUCGCUAUGAAUUAAUGCAGAGUGACCUACUUUUCUACAUAGUAUUUAUUAUUUGUGCUGCUGUUUUAUCGAUUUUGAGACUGUUAUGUUACAGAGGAAUGGAAAAAUCUAAUAUAAUAAAACUCCUCUCAUUGAAAAUAAUAAAGUCACAUCACAAAAUACAAAUUUAUU